rnacentral:rRNA from 1 species
UACGUAGGGUGCAAGCGUUAAUCGGAAUUACUGGGCGUAAAGCGUGCGCAGGCGGUGAUGUAAGGCAGUUGUGAAAUCCCCGGGCUCAACCUGGGAACUGCAUCUGUGACUGCAUUGCUGGAGUGCGGCAGAGGGGGAUGGAAUUCCGCGUGUAGCAGUGAAAUGCGUAGAUAUGCGGAGGAACACCGAUGGCGAAGGCAAUCCCCUGGGCCUGCACUGACGCUCAUGCACGAAAGCGUGGGGAGCAAACAGG